rnacentral:rRNA from 1 species
AUACGGAGGGAGCUAGCGUUAUUCGGAAUUACUGGGCGUAAAGCGCACGUAGGCGGCUUUGUAAGUUAGAGGUGAAAGCCUGGAGCUCAACUCCAGAAUUGCCUUUAAGACUGCAUCGCUUGAAUCCAGGAGAGGUGAGUGGAAUUCCGAGUGUAGAGGUGAAAUUCGUAGAUAUUCGGAAGAACACCAGUGGCGAAGGCGGCUCACUGGACUGGUAUUGACGCUGAGGUGCGAAAGCGUGGGGAGC